CAAUGGACGCAAGUCUGAACCAGCCAUGCCGCGUGCAGGAUGACGGCCCUCUGGGUUGUAAACUGCUUUUAUAGGGGACGAAAAAAGGAAAUUCUUUUCCACUUGACGGUACCCUACGAAUAAGCACCGGCUAACUACGUGCCAGCAGCCGCGGUAAUACGUAGGGUGCGAGCGUUAAUCGGAAUUACUGGGCGUAAAGCGUGCGCAGGCGGUUUUAUAAGCCAGAUGUGAAAUCCCCGGGCUCAACCUGGGAAUGGCAUUUGGGACUGCAUAGCUAGAGUAUGGCAGAGGAGACUAGAAUUCCUGGUGUAGCAGUGAAAUGCGUAGAUAUCAGGAGGAAUACCGAUGGCGAAGGCAGGUCUCUGGGUUAAUACUGACGCUCAUGCACGAAAGCGUGGGGAGCAAACAGGAUUAGAUACCCUGGUAGUCCACGCCCUAAACGAUGUCGACUGGUUGUUGGGAGAUCUAUUCUCUUAGUAACGAAGCUAACGCGUGAAGUCGACCGCCUGGGGAGUACGGUCGCAAGAUUAAAACUCAAAGGAAUUGACGGA
rnacentral:rRNA from 1 species